UACGUAGGGGGCUAGCGUUGUCCGGAUUUAUUGGGCGUAAAGAGCGUGUAGGCGGCCAGGUAGGUCUGGUGUGAAAACUCGAGGCUUAACCUCGAGAUGUCAUCGGAAACCAUCUGGCUAGAGUCCGGAAGAGGAAAGUGGAAUUCCUGGUGUAGCGGUGAAAUGCGCAGAUAUCAGGAAGAACACCCGUGGCGAAAGCGGCUCUCUGGAACGGUACUGACGCUGAAGACGCGAAAGCGUGGGGAGCGAACAGG
rnacentral:rRNA from 1 species